AAAGUCUGCCACUACUCAUUUGGAUCUCUCUUCAACAGGGUUUCACCACACUUUUCCAGAUAGAGAAGGAAAGAGACAGAGAAACAGGGAAAAAGAGAAAGACACCUUAGCACCAAAACUUCCUGAGUCUUGAGUGUAAUGAAAGCAGGCAUCUUUUCAGCCACCAAAUUCCAGAUGGUACUAUGACUUCCCUGGGCAGAUGAUCUCACCAAUGCUUCCUGGAACCUUAUCUCUCCAGAUCCCUACCAUAUCAGAAAAAGAUAGAAACAGGCUGUGGGUAUGGAUCAACUUGCCAACAUUCAUGUCCAACAGAGAAGCAAUUAUAGAAGCCAGAAGUCCCACCUUCUGCACCAUAAAAAGAACUUUGGUUCAUACUCCCAGAAGGAGAAAUAAUAAGGAAAGUAAGCCAAAGAGUUCUGCACCCCCAUUCCACCAGGGCCUGGAACAUUUGUCAUCAGGAAUCUUGUUUUUAUACAAUCAAUGAAAGGGAAGCAAAUCUGGAGAACACCAGAGCAAGCCGGGCACUAUUUCUCCUAUCUGAGAGAGAAGAGGAAAAAAAGCAAAGACAUCUGGAAGUGGUAAUAAGUAUAGGAGUGACUUAGAAAGGAAGUGAAGGUAGAACCAUUGAAAAAAUGGGGACACACACACGCACAUCAAGAUAUAAAAUCAGCUUCCAAUGGAGGGGAUUGGGUACACCUGAAAUUAUAUCCCUAUUAACUUAUAAUUGUAUAAUAUUAAAUCACUAAUAAAAAAAGAAUCAUCAGGAUCCUGAAAAUAUAGAACAAUGAUUCUUUCAGACCCUAGCAACUACUUAGAUACCUGAUAUGUCUUGUCCCACCAAGAUACACAGACACAACUUUGCACUUCACAGGACUGCAUUACUAAGCAGGAAGUGGUGACUGUGGUUUACACUGCUGUUAUAAUGUCCCAUCUGAUUUCGCACUUGGUACCUUUGGUGACUGAGUGUGGGUUUCACCAAAAGUACUGCUGUUUAUAGGUGACAUAUGUAGGUUAAGCAAAAACAGCCAUGGACUGUAAUUAUUCUUUGAAAAUAGUUGUUGGAGGUGACACUGUGUCAGGAACAAAAUAGAUUGAACAUAAAGUUACAAUACUACAAUGUUAAGAAAAAUAACUAAAGAGGUGCAAAACAAUUUCCAGAUGGUAACUGAACUUGCAAAAACAAAACGGUAACCAAAUUGUCUCUAGGCUCUGAAAACAAUGAUGGUUACCAGAGGGAAGUGGGGCUUGGGGGAAGGAUGCACAGAAACUGGUGAUAUGUGUGGUGAGCUGCAAAAAUACAUGGGUAAAGAAUUAUAUUCCUGAAAUGUAAUGAUUUUUGUAAACC